GCCCCGGUGGCGGAAUCGGUAGACGCAGCGGAUUCAAAAUCCGCCGCCGAAAGGUGUGCCGGUUCGAGUCCGGCCCGGGGCA
rnacentral:tRNA from 1 species